UUGGACCUCAAAUCAGGGGGACUACC
rnacentral:rRNA from 1 species